rnacentral:tRNA from 1 species
GUGGGUGUAGCUCAGUUGGUUAGAGCACAUGGUUGUGGUCCAUGGGGUCGAGGGUUCGAAUCCCUUCACCCACCCCA